UUCAACAAGUAAUGCAACCUCCCAGCACCAGACCCAGGGGAAGAGACCCUCGAACCCUGAGCAGCUCUUCACAAGCUCUCUGUAGCCCCACACCUCUGCCCCUCCUCCAGGGCCAUGCCGGCAGGAGGGAGCAUUAAAAUUAUCUGCUGCAGGUUUUACUAGCAGCGAUCGCUUUUUAAAACAACAACAACACAAGGUCCUUGUGCGGCUCUCGAGUAACCUAAAACUCUCCAGACAGAACUGCGCCCCCCACCCGCGCACCGCGCGCACGUCGCCUGCCAAGAACGCCAGCGCGCCGGGACGGGUGCAGCGUUAAGACCACAGAGGAGCCGGACUUCGGUGAGCUUCCCUAGGACACAGGAGGCACUUUUGGGGGUCCCGGAGCAAAAUGUCGUGGGAGAAGAAAUUGGAAAAGAAAACCCACGGAUGACAGUUGGGGGAGAGGUUUGGUGUUGCAAAAAAGGGAAGGAGGCAAUGGGAGAGAUUUUGAUUCAGCAACUUCUCCACGAAGGCCGCAGGGGACCGGCCAGUAGCUGGGGAGGCGGCGAUCUGACACCUCCCUUCCCCCUCCUCCCGCGCCAGGGGAUGAGCCGCCGGGCGACCUCGUCUCCCUCCGCAGGAAGCCGAACUGAGUUCCAGCAGCCUUAAACCCACCCAAAUGCUCACCUGGCUGGCAAGGCAGCCUCACGCCUGUAGAUUUUCGCUCAAGUGUGUGGAUUUGUCAGAACAGCUCCCAGCAAGAAGCAAGGAAAGCAUUUCUAGCACCAUUUUUUUUUUUUUCAGAUGACAAUGCCAGGGCACAGAGGCACUGAGAAAUCUAUUUCCCCGCUGCAGCAACACCAAGGGCAAUGGGGAAGUCGCCAGGUGACCCGUGCAGGGUGGGCUGUGACCUGCGCUGAAAGUGAGGAGUGGGAGCUGUCGCUGCUGUCCCAGAAGUUCUCUGGGUAUGUCACCUGAGCUCCACAGCAGCUGCCCCAAGAAGUCUCCAGGGGACAAGGUGAAGAGUCACCCGACUGGACCCAGGUCUACUGUCUCCCCCCUCCGACCUGGAGGGCCAGGGGACAACUUCUCUGAAGCCUGGCAGCCCUGGGAGAGGGACCAGAGGGGCCCUGAUGCCCUGUGGGGAGGAGGAAAGGGUACUGAUUGGGGUGGGGGAUAGUCUGUGGUUGCAGAGAUCCCGGAGAUGCUCAGAGGAGAGACAGAUCUCUCCUGGGAACCUAACUCCAUGGACAGGAGAAUCAUGACUAUCUUCUUAUAUGGGGCACAACCCGCAGUGCUUUUCUUCCAUGGGUAUGGACGGCUUGUUCCAGUGGGGAGGGAUUCUUUUCUCCAACCAGAUGUAAGCCCAGUGCUCCUUGUCCUGUUCCUCUUCCCUCUCUGGCCUGGGAGGUCCUGACAGAGAUUCGCUUUGCUCCCCAGGGGCUUCUCUCCUAGAUUAUAUCAACGAGCUGCCCAUCAACUCCUGCGUUCAGCUCUGUUCACUCCCAUACUGCCACAGUCGGCCUUGCUAAAUAGCAAGCCUGGGGGAACGCACCACUCCCUGAUUAAAGGCUGUACUCCUCCCCACUGUCCUCCGACAAAAGAGCCCAGGCAGGGUGCUGAGACAAGAACUAAGUACUUGUGGUUCUCCCAACAAACAUUUAGAACACCUCCAAAAGAACUGUCAGUUUUCCCUGCUUCAAAUUCGUGCAGUGGUCAGGCAGACUCUGUGGAGCCACAGCUGGGGUUAAAUUCUGGGUCUGCCACCUAGUGGCCCAACCUUGAACAAGAAUUUACUUGGUACUGAGGGAUAGUUUUCCCUUCUGUAAAAUGGGGAUAAAGCUUGUAUCCUUGCUAUGAAUUGUUGCCAGGAUUAAAGGAAAUGGAGUAUGUAUAGCCUUUGGAAUGGUCAAGUUAGAAAUGUCGCCCUCUAGCAUUUGAAGAGAGCACACCAGUACCUCCCCUCAUUUAUCCCCCUAAUGAUUUUGUGAAGUAGGGCAGACGUUCCUACUUAGAGACAGGUCAAAGGUGCGUUCCAUAAGGCAGUGACUUGUCUGGCCUCAUCUGGCAGGUGAGUGAUAGAGCUGCAUUUCCUGGCCACAGUUUUGAAGUGUAGUCCCCCCUCUGAUGUGGAGGACUGCAGUCUCACAUGCCAUAGGUUACAUAUCACCGUGGGCUCACAGGACACUCAUGGGUAGCCUGCAAAGUAACUGAGAUCGGUAGGCAUUGCUGAGCUUCAGGGAAGAGGAUGUGCACAGCAAGGUUCAGACCUUCCUGGAAAUGGCCCUUUCUACCCAGCAUCCUGGGAAUGCGUGCAGCACCUGCAGCAGUUGCCACACGCCCUAAGAAAUCACCUCCCAAGGGCGUAACCGGAUAAAACAUCAUCAUCAAGCUCAACAGCCUGGCAGGUUUCUCCUCACUCUACCACCUAGCCACAUGUAUCCUUCAAACCGGUUAACUUCUUUCUUUCUGUUCUAUUAAGAAAUCUAUUGGCCUAAUACCCACCAUGUCUGGCAGUAAAAAGCACCGAGGGAAAAUGCAUUGCAAUAGUCCUUUCCAUCCUUAACACCAAAUGCUGCUUUCCAGCCAGAAAACUUAUUUCCAAGUGGUCACUGGUCCAAAAGUCGACAUUAUUCUGGAUUUCAAGUAUAGCCUAGUUUAAAAUAUGAGCAACUACUUUAAAAUAUGAGUAACUGCUUUCCAGUCAUUUUGCUCAGCAAAAUUUUCUUUCGCUGUGGUUGGCAUGCAGGGCCUGUCAUAACCCUGGCUAUCAUUCAAAUGGAGCAUUUUCUUCUCCCAGCUCCUCCCAAGCCCAGAGAAGGUUAGAAAUUCCAGAGAACUUCUAGUCCCAAACAGCAUCUCUGUGCCAGACUCAGCCUUCUGAUCCAAGCAAGAAAAAGUGAAAUUGACAAGCUUUUUCUUUCCCUGGAGGCCAGGUUUGUCAUCCAAAAAUAAAUCUAGCUCUCCUGGCAACUGGUCUGUUCAGUUUCAGCCAUAUUCCUUGUCCCGUGGGGCUUCUAUUUGCAAGGGGAUAUUUGAGUAGAACCUCAAAUAUUUAGUAUGAGUAUAAGAAUCAAAUUGUAUAACUGAUAAUGUGAAAUAGGAAGAAAAAGGCUAAAGGUGUAGGGGAAGUGGGAAGGGUAGGGGAAAGGAAAUAAGGGAAAAGAAAAAAUAUGAGAAAAUGAAAAAAUGGAAACAAAGCCUUUGUAAAUAGGGGCAGGUGGAGGGGCUAAAGGGAGGGCAGGGGAAUGGGUAAAAAAUGAGAACCAAAGGUACAGGAUCCCAAUGAUGAAUGCAACUGUACUGUGUACUUAAAAAGC
ensembl:lincRNA